rnacentral:tRNA from 1 species
GCGCCAGUAGCUCAAUUGGAUAGAGCAUCAGACUUCGGAUCUGAGGGUUAGGGGUUCGACUCCUCUCUGGCGCACCA